rnacentral:lncRNA from 1 species
UUGGGCCGAUUGGCGGGUUGCCAACCCUGCGAAUUGCGAUCAGAGGACGAAUGCUUAAAUUUAUUGAAGGGCUUUUUAGCAGUGAUCGCAUUAAGGUCAGCGCUAACUGCAUGGACGGUAGGCUUGUCUUUGCCCGACUGCCAUCGAACCUCUUGCCCAACAGCGUAAAGGAUUAGCUUAUCUAAGCUGUCCCAAUCUUUGCCCUCUUCGCUUGUCGCACACCGGCUGCGCAAAGGUGGUAGUAACCCCUUAACGUACCAGCCGAUUUGAUCGCUAGGGUUCAUAUCUUUCGCUUCACGAAUUAUAUCGUGAAAACGUUGAGUAUAUUCGGGCACUGUUUCAGUUGCUUUCAUGGCGUGUUCGUUCGCAUGCAACCUAUCGCGGGCGGCCAUAGCCGUGUUGCGUUGCGUAUCGCCAUAUUGCAACAAAAAGGCAGCACGUAAAGAAUCACGCGUCAAAAGCUUCUUGCCUGAUCGGUGCUCCCCGAAAAUGUCCGUGGCCCAGACUAGAGCUUUGCCCGAUACGAAGUAGACAAAGUGCUCUAACGGGUCCAUUUGCAUUAAGUCUAAGUAUUGCAAAAGGAACUCGAACCACGAUCGGGUGCAAGUAAUAUGCGUAUCCCUUUUUCCCGAAAAUUUUGGGGGAAGCGGAACGUGUUUCUGCGUACUCACCUCGGUACGCGGCGUUUUGCCCGUGGGCUGUAGCGCAGGCCGCGCGGAGUCGGAGUCUGUAGCGCUACCGCCAGGGCCGCUCUCCACCGCACCGGUGUCCCAAAGUUUCCGGACCUCCUCCAAG